ACAGAGUCAAAAUUAAAUCAGACAAGGAAAUCUCCAAAGGAAAUGGUCCAUACCACUUCAGGAAGUGAACGUCUCACCCUAGAGAGCUGCAUUGUUUUCUCUAACACAGACCUGGAAAUGCUCAGCUGGGUGUCUGCUGAUCUGUGUCAGAAGUUCUCUCAGAGAUGUUUAACAACUGAGGUUUGGAGACCUACAAUUAGAGAGACAGAUGGUCUAAGAAGACAAACAGUAUUUUGUCCCUAG
rnacentral:lncRNA from 1 species